rnacentral:rRNA from 1 species
UACGUAGGGGGCAAGCGUUGUCCGGAAUCAUUGGGCGUAAAGAGCUCGUAGGCGGUCUGUCGCGUCUGGUGUGAAAAUCCAGGGCUUAACCCUGGACCUGCAUCGGGUACGGGCAGACUAGAGUGCGGUAGGGGAGAUCGGAAUUCCUGGUGUAGCGGUGAAAUGCGCAGAUAUCAGGAGGAACACCGGUGGCGAAGGCGGAUCUCUGGGCCGUAACUGACGCUGAGAAGCGAAAGCAUGGGGAGCGAACAGG